rnacentral:rRNA from 1 species
UACGUAGGGGGCAAGCGUUGGUCCGGAAUUCAUUGGGCGUAAAGCGCGUGUAGGCGGCCCGGUAAGUCCGCUGUGAAAGUCGGGGGCUCAACCCUCGAAUGCCGGUGGAUACGUGUCGGGCUAGAGUGCGGAAGAGGCGAGUGGAAUUCCGUGGUGUAGGCGGUGGAAAUGACGCAGAGUAUCAGGAGGAACACCAGAGGUGAAGACGGGUUGCUGGGCCGACACUGACGCUGAGGCGCGGAAAGCCAGGGGAGCAAACGGG